AAAGUGGUUGAUGCCAUGCUUCCAAGAAAAUCUUCUAAGCUUCAGAUAAUUAGGAACCGUACCCCAAACCGACACAGGUGGUUGGGUAGAGAAUACCAAGGCGCUUGAGAGAACUCGGGUGAAGGAACUAGGCAAAAUGGCACCGUAACUUCGGGAGAAGGUGCGCUGGUGAGGGUGAAGUAUUUACUACGUAAGCCUUUGCUAGUCGAAGAUACCAGGCCGCUGCGACUGUUUAUUAAAAACACAGGACUCUGCAAACACGAAAGUGGACGUAUAGGGUCUGACGCCUGCCCGGUGCCGGAAGGUUAAUUGAUGGGGUUAGCGCAAGCGAAGCUCUUGAUCGAAGCCCCGGUAAACGGCGGCCGUAACAAUAACGGUCCUAAGGUAGCGAAAUUCCUUGUCGGGUAAGUUCCGACCUGCACGAAUGGCGUAACGAUGGCGGCGCUGUCUCCACCCGAGACUCAGUGAAAUUGAAAUCGCUGUGAAGAUGCAGUGUAUCCGCGGCAAGGCGGAAAGACCCCGUGAACCUUUACUAUAGCUUUGCACUGGACUUUGAAGUUGUUUGUGUAGGAUAGGUGGGAGGCUUUGAAGCAGAGACGCCAGUUUCUGUGGAGCCAUCCUUGAAAUACCACCCUGGCAACUUUGAGGUUCUAACUCUGGUCCGUUAUCCGGAUCGAGGACAGUGUAUGGUGGGUAGUUUGACUGGGGCGGUCUCCUCCUAAAGAGUAACGGAGGAGUACGAAGGUGCGCUCAGACCGGUCGGAAAUCGGUCGUAGAGUAUAAAGGCAAAAGCGCGCUUAACUGCGAGACCAACAAGUCGAGCAGGUACGAAAGUAGGUCUUAGUGAUCCGGUGGUUCUGUAUGGAAGGGCCAUCGCUCAACGGAUAAAAGGUACUCCGGGGAUAACAGGCUGAUACCGCCCAAGAGUUCAUAUCGACGGCGGUGUUUGGCACCUCGAUGUCGGCUCAUCACAUCCUGGGGCUGAAGCCGGUCCCAAGGGUACGGCUGUUCGCCGUUUAAAGUGGUACGCGAGCUGGGUUUAGAACGUCGUGAGACAGUUCGGUCCCUAUCUGUCGUGGACGUUUGAGAUUUGAGAGGGGCUGCUCCUAGUACGAGAGGACCGGAGUGGACGAACCUCUGGUGUUCCGGUUGUCACGCCAGUGGCAUUGCCGGGUAGCUAUGUUCGGAAGAGAUAACCGCUGAAAGCAUCUAAGCGGGAAACUUGCCUCAAGAUGAGAUCUCACUGGAGCUUUAAGCUCCCUAAAGGGCCGUCGAAGACUACGACGUUGAUAGGUUGGGUGUGUAAGUGCUGUGAGGCAUUGAGCUAACCAAUACUAAUUGCCCGUGAGGCUUGAUC
rnacentral:rRNA from 1 species